UUAUUUUAUAUUGGUUUUGAAUGGUUACUGCAGUUUAAGCAGACAAAACCGUCUACAAAUCGGAUCACUUUUUAUUUAUCAUUCACAAAUUAUAGUCCGUAACGGUACACACUCAAAAAACCAAAAAAAAAACCGCUGCAAACUAACUGUGGACCGUUUUCAAACUAAAUCCACAACGAUUUAUAAUUCGCCCUAAAAAUAAUAUGGAUUGCCGACGGAUUAAGUCAGUACUAACUACAUCAUCUAUUUAAAGC
rnacentral:sRNA from 1 species